ACCUAUAUAUCUAAGCUUGCAAGAUUAGCAGCCUCUAUGGAAGUGGUACAGAGUAGGCUCCAAAAGCAAGAAGAAAAUUGAAUGAUGUCUCAUGUAUCUUAGCUGGACACUCUAAUUUUUGAAUUCUUGUAUAAAUAGAAGCAGCAUCAGUAUCCUGUGUACUUUUAUGAGUGAAAUCUGCUUGGUUUUGGAAAGAAAUGUCCCUGCUUUCAAGUAAAAGAGAGCAUCUGAAGAGGCAGCAUGUGAUACCUCAUUUUCAGUCUGCUUACUAGGAGAAAUAGGGCUUGGCAAUAGCAAUAGGUAUGCAAAAAAGAAUGCAAAAAGGAGUGGGACCCUUUGGAGACCACACAUGCAACACUACAAUUACACUAUGACAGGUCAAUAGCAGGACAGAAAACUGUUAAUAAACUAUUCAAGAUUACUAUCAGCCAAAGCAGUGCCAUUAAGAAAUGGGUACAAAUGUACUGGUAGAGUUGUCCAAAAAAAAA